UCACUUCAGGGCCAGUUUUGGACACUUAAAAAUGAAAAAUAAAGUAAUUUUUAAAAACACAAUAUAAUUAAUUUUUAAUUUUUUCUGAUCAUUUUUUUACACGAUUAAAAUGCUUGAUGAUUAUUUAUCGUGGUUUUAUAUCCGCUACAAAAUCAAGAGUUGGUUUGACACGACGAUUACCCUACAACUUAAACUUGAGAUACCAGCAUAAAUAUGAAAAGGAAGAAGAAAAAAAGAAUAAGUGAUCUAUGCAGAGAGUGAGGAAGUACUAAUUGUCCAGAGUCGAGAGCGAUCACGCGAAUGAUGUAAGACCGGAUGUCGAAAUAUAAUCAGGAGUGCUCGAUAUCAAGCUCAAGACUACUUGACCGACCAUAAAAUCUUUGAGCUCAGCAACUAUCUGAUCACUCAUUUA